AGUGAACGCUGGCGGUAGGCCUAACACAUGCAAGUCGAACGGCAGCACAGGAGAGCUUGCUCUCUGGGUGGCGAGUGGCGGACGGGUGAGGAAUACAUCGGAAUCUACUCUGUCGUGGGGGAUAACGUAGGGAAACUUACGCUAAUACCGCAUACGACCUGCGGGUGCAAGCAGGGGAUCUUCGGACCCUGCGCGAUUGAAUGAGCCGGUGUCGGGUUAGCUAGUUGGCGGGGUAAGGGCCCACCAAGGCCACGAUCCGUAGCUGGUCUGAGAGGAUGAGCAGCCACACUGGAACUGAGACACGGUCCAGACGCCUCCGGGAGGCAGCAGUGGGGAAUAUUGGACAAGGGGCGCAAGCCUGAUCCAGCCAUACCGCGUGGGUGAAGAAGGCCUUCGGGUUGUAAAGCCCUUUUGUUGGGAAAGAAAUCCAGCUGGCUAAUACCCGGUUGGGAUGACGGUACCCAAAGAAUAAGCACCGGCUAACUUCGUGCCAGCCGCCGCCGUAA
rnacentral:rRNA from 1 species